GACGAACGCUGGCGGCGUGCUUAAUACAUGCAAGUCAACUGAACUUAAGGUAGCAAUAUUUAAGGGAGGUGGCGCACGGUGAGUAACACGUAGGUAAUCUGCCUUUAGGUCUGACACAACCUACCGAAAGGUAGGCUAAUAUCAGAUGAUGCAGCGGCUCGACAUCGAGACAGUUGUUAAACCUUCGGGGGCCUAAAAGAUGAGCCUGCGUCUGAUUAGGAGUUGGCGGAGUUAAUAGCCCACCAAGCCUGCGAUCAGUAGCUGGUCUGAGAGGAUGAUCAGCCA
rnacentral:rRNA from 1 species